rnacentral:rRNA from 1 species
UACGAAGGGGGCUAGCGUUGCUCGGAAUUACUGGGCGUAAAGCGCACGUAGGUGGCUUGGCAAGUCGGGUGUGAAAUCCCCGGGCUCAACCUGGGAACUGCAUUCGAGACUGCCUUGCUAGAGUAUGGGAGAGGGAAGUGGAAUUUCCGGUGUAGCGGUGAAAUGCGUAGAUAUCGGAAGGAACAUCAGUGGCGAAGGCGACUUCCUGGACCAAUACUGACACUCAGGUGCGAAAGCGUGGGGAGCAAACAGG